rnacentral:rRNA from 1 species
UACGGAGGGGGCUAGCGUUGUUCGGAAUUACUGGGCGUAUAGCGCACGUAGGCGGCUUUGUAAGUCAGAGGUGAAAUCCCGGGGCUCAACUCCGGAACUGCCUUUGAGACUGCAUCGCUUGAAUCCAGGAGAGGUGAGUGGAAUUCCGAGUGUAGAGGUGAAAUUCGUAGAUAUUCGGAAGAACACCAGUGGCGAAGGCGGCUCACUGGACUGGUAUUGACGCUGAGGUGCGAAAGCGUGGGGAGCAAACAGG